GGGGGAGACUUCUUCACCCACUUGGAGGCCAAAGGCCACACGAUGGAGGGGGAGGCCCAAGGCCCAUUCCAAAAGCUGUUCUCGUCUCUGCAUCACUGCCACCAGCUGGGUGUGGUGCACCGGGACUUGAAGCUGGACAACCUCCUCCUCGAUGCCAACAACACCGCCAAGAUCUCCGACUUCACACUUAGCAACCAGUGGCACCCAGGAAAGAAGCCAAACACUUUCUGUGGCAGUCCUGCGUUCGUGGCCCCAGGACUCUUCCUGGGGAGCCCUUACACAGGCCCAGAGGAGGAUGUGUGAAGCCUCGGUGGCGUCCAGUACACCGAGGUAACUGGAUCACUCCCCUUCAGGGGAUAAGAUUUCUGGGAGCUGUGGCAGCGUGUGCUUAGGGGGCAGCAACAUGUGCCCAAAUAACUAUUCAAUGAGAUAACAGACUUACUAGGAAGAAUGUUAAUGUUCAACCUACCAACAGAGGUACUUUAGAUGAUGUUUGGCAGCAUCCAUGGGUGAACAUGGGCCAGGACUCACUCCCACCAGCCCGUGAAGAGCACCCUGGGGUGACAGUGGAGAUGAUACUGGGCUGAUGCAGAGACCAAAUCCAGGGCUUAGACAUAAGCAGUGGCAGUAACAUGAAUGAACCCAAGUUGAGGGUCCGCACGAUCAUUGUGAGGCCAGCCGUUUCCUCUGACCUCAGCAGCCAAGAACAUAUGCCUCCCACCAGCCCUGAGAUUUCCAUGUUUAUUCCCACCUGGCUUUGGGAGACCAUUCAGCAGCAGGAGAACCAGGAGUCAAGGGAGAAGACCAGAGAGCCUGCCACUCCCCAACCCUGCCCAGAAGCAAGGACCGUCACCCCCCCGCCCAGCCCCCACCACUUGCAACACCCGUGAUGACAGCAGCGCCCUAGCCACCGAUCACGCUGGUGACCUCCACGAUACAUGCGGGACCAGGCUCACCUGCGACAUCUGCGGCAGGCGUGACAGCAGCCACACCCGUGACACCAGCGUUACCCGUGGCACCAGAGACACCCGCGACACCAUCAGCACCUGCGACACCUGUCAUACCAGAGGUACCAGCCUCACCUGUGACACCUGCAGCUGCCAUGACACUAGCCACACCUGUGAUCCCAGCCUCACCUAUGACGCCCUAAGCACCCAGGACACCACUGGGGCCUGCAACGUAUAUGAUACCCGUGGCACCAUUGAUACCCACAUUACCAGUGACACCUGCCUCACCAGGGACACCAGAGGCACCCGUGACACCAGAGGCACCCGUGACACCAGAGGCACCCGUGACACCAGUGGUGACCACGCCACCCAUGAUACUUAUGCCACUGUCACCCGUGACACCAGCCACACCUGUGAUCCCAGCCUCACCUAUGACGCCCUAAGCACCCAGGACACCACUGGGGCCUGCAACGUAUAUGAUACCCGUGGCACCAUUGAUACCCACAUUACCAGUGACACCUGCCUCACCAGGGACACCAGAGGCACCCGUGACACCAGAGGCACCCGUGACACCAGAGGCACCCGUGACACCAGUGGUGACCACGCCACCCAUGAUACUUAUGCCACUGUCACCCGUGACACCAGGGUCACCCACGACACAGAUGGCACUCAUGGCACCUGUGACACCUCCAACACCAAUGGCACCCAUGACAUCGGCGGUAAAGUCCCAGAAGGAAUCCAC
rnacentral:lncRNA from 1 species